rnacentral:rRNA from 1 species
UACGUAGGGUGCAAGCGUUGUCCGGAAUUAUUGGGCGUAAAGAGCUCGUAGGCGGUCUGUCGCGUCGAAUGUGAAAACCCGGGGCUCAACCCCGGGCCUGCAUUCGAUACGGGCAGACUAGAGUUCGGUAGGGGAGUCUGGAAUUCCUGGUGUAGCGGUGAAAUGCGCAGAUAUCAGGAGGAACACCGGUGGCGAAGGCGGUGGUCUGGGCCUGAACUGACGCUGAGGAGCGAAAGCGUGGGGAGCAAACAGG